GCCAAUGAGACCUGAAAGGAAGUCUGCUAGGAGGCUUUGGGAAAGUUUCUUUGCUCUUAAAGAUACAGAACCAACCAUCAAUGACUUGGAUAGUAUCUCCAUUCAACACAGAAGAGAUCUAGUUUCAGAGAGGCUUGAUAAAGGCCCUAAGUUCAACUGAACUGUAAGACCCCACCCACUGAGUUCUCGCAAAUGAAAUGUGCGAUAUGUUGUUUGCCCGUUCCAGAUUCAUUCUCCACCCUUAAAAAGCAAAGCCGGUGGUUUAACUCAAGGCACAUCAGACUCCAAGGCCCUUGCUCUUUUCACCAACCACAAGUUCUACUAUUCCAAGAAGGAAAGAGGGAAGGAGGGAGUAAAAAAUAAAUAAAUAAAUAAAUGACA